rnacentral:rRNA from 1 species
UACCCGCAGCACAAGUGGUGGUCAUUAUUAUUGGGCCUAAAGCGUCCGUAGCUGGCCUGUUAGAUGCCUGGGUAAAUCGAUGCGCUCAACGUAUCGAACUCCGGGGUAGACCGGCAGGCUUGGGACCGGGAGAGAUGUGAGCUACUCGAGGGGUAGGGGGUAAAAUCCUGUAAUCCUUCGGGGGAGGACCAGUGGCGAAGGCGUCACAUUAGAACGGCUCCGACAGUGAGGGACGAAGCCCCUGGGGCGCAAACCGG